rnacentral:rRNA from 1 species
AGAUCCUACGGGACGCAGCAGUGGGGAAUAUUGGGCAAUGGGCGCAAGCCUGACCCAGCAACGCCGCGUGAAGGAAGAAGGCCCUCGGGUUGUAAACUUCUUUUGUCAGGGACGAAGCAAGUGACGGUACCUGACGAAUAAGCCACGGCUAACUACGUGCCAGCAGCCGCGGUAAUACGUAGGUGGCAAGCGUUAUCCGGAUUUACUGGGUGUAAAGGGAGCGUAGGCGGUUUAGCAAGUCAGAAGUGAUAGCCCGGGGCGCAACUCCGGGACUGCUUUUGAAACUGUUGAACUAGAUUGCAGGG